rnacentral:rRNA from 1 species
GGGGGGAAAAUUAAUAAAUAUAGUAUAAAAAAAGAAAUUUUAAAAUAAAAUACUGAAUGGGGGUUUAAGUAUUUUUAUGGAAAAAAUUUUUAAUUUUAUAGAAAAUUAGUAUUGUAAAAGAAUUUUGAAAAAUAAUUAAAAUAAAUUUAAUAAAAAGUAAAUUUAAUUUAUUGUAUCUUGGGUAUCAGAGUUUAUUAAAAAUAAAUUAUAUUAAUAAUAAUCUCGAAUUUAAAAGAGUUAAUUAAUUAUUUAAAUUAGUGUUUUAAAAUUAUUUAAAAUAAUUAAUUAGAAAUGAAAUGUUAAUCGUUUUUAAAUAUAUCUAGUUUUUUUAGAAAAAAAUUUAAUUUUAAAUAUUAUUAAUUUUAAUUUUUAUUAAUAAAAAUUAAAAAAAAAUAAAUAUUUUAUAUUUUAAGGGAUAAGCUUUAAAUUAAAUUUUUAUAAUUAAUUUUAUUUUAAUUAAAAAAAUUUUUAAAAUUUACAUUUUUUAUAAAUUAUAAUUUUUUAUAAAUAAUUUUAUUAAAAUUAAAAUUUAAAAUUUAAAUUUAAAUAUUUAUAAAAAAAUAAUUUUUAAUAAAAAUAAAUUAGGUAUAAUGAUAAAAUUAGUAUAAAAUUUUAUAAAUGAGAAAAAUAAAAUUUAUAAAAUUUAAAUAAAGGAAUUCGGCAAAAAAAAAUAUUCACCUGUUUAACAAAAACAUGUCUUUUUGAAAAUAAUUUAAAGUCUAAUCUGCCCACUGAAAUAAAUUUAAAGGGCUGCAGUAUAUUGACUGUACAAAGGUAGCAUAAUCAUUAGUCUUUUAAUUGAAGACUUGUAUAAAUGAUUGGAUGAAAUAUAAUCUGUCUCUAUUUAAAAAAUGAAAUUUAAUUUUUUAGUUAAAAAGCUAAAUUAAAAUUAAAAGACGAGAAGACCCUAUAGAGUUUAAUAUUUUAAAAAUUAUUAUUAAAAUAAAGAAAAAUUAACACUAAAAUUUUUAAAAUAUUUUAUUGGGGUGAUAGAAAAAUGAAAUAAACUUUUUUUAAAUAAUAAACAUAAAUAAAUGAAAUUAUGAUCCAUAAUUUAUGAUUAUAAGAAAAAAUUACCUUAGGGAUAACAGCGUAAUUUUUUUUUUUAGUUCAAAUAAGAAAAAAAGUUUGCGACCUCGAUGUUGGAUUAAGAUAAAAUUUAAAUGCAAAAGUUUAAAAUUUUGAUCUGUUCGAUCAUUAAAAUCUUACAUGAUCUGAGUUCAAACCGGUGUGAGCCAGGUUGGUUUCUAUCUUUAGUAAAAUAAAAUAUUUUA